ACUUUAGCUUCCCCAACUCAUUUUCCUAAGUCAGUUCAACUAAAAUGUUGGGUACACUUAAGAUAUUAAGUUUACCAGUGCCCAACUAAUCCGUUUAAUCAGAGUAGUUCACGCAACAAAGAUUUCUUAGUUGUAUGAGUGGCAAUGCAAGGAAACCCCGCCCACCGAGCCUUCCUCGCAGAACAGGUCGCCAUGCUUGAAGACUGACGAAAAGCUUCAAUUUUUGAGUCAAGAGUUCCAGAGGCCUUACAUUUUCAACGGACAUUUAUCAGUAGCCCCUGCAAGGAAACCCCAUCGCGUCAGAACAGGUGCCGCGCCACGGCUGACGAAGCCUCCAUUUUGAAUUAAGACUUCUUGAUUGAGGUCAUAGGCCUAAAUUUACAACGGACAUUUAACAGAAGCCCCUGCAAGGAAACCCCACUGCCUCAGAACAGGUGCCAGGGCUGACGAAGCCUCCAUUUUGAAUUAAGACUUCUUAAUACAGUA